rnacentral:rRNA from 1 species
GCUGGCGGCGUGCUAACACAUGCAGUCGAACGAGAAAGGGCUUUCGGGCCUGAGUAAAGUGGCGCACGGGUGAGUAACACGUGACUAACCUACCCUUGAGCGGGGGAUAACCUAGGGAAACCUGGGCUAAUACCGCAUAAUACCUAUGGGUCAAAGCGAGCAAUCGCACUUAAGGAGGGGGUCGCGGCAGAUUAGCUAGUUGGUGAGGUAAUGGCUCACCAAGGCGAUGAUCUGUAUCCGGCCUGAGAGGGCGCACGGACACACUGGAACUGAAACACGGUCCAGACUCCUACGGGAGGCAGCAGUGGGGAAUUUUGCGCAAUGGGGGAAACCCUGACGCAGCAACGCCGCGUGGAGGAUGAAAUCCCUUGGGAUGUAAACUCCUUUCGAUCGGGACGAUAAUGACGGUACCGGAAGAAGAAGCCCCGGCUAACUUCGUGCCAGCAGCCGCGGUAAUACGAGGGGGGCAAGCGUUGUUCGGAAUUAUUGGGCGUAAAGGGUGCGUAGGCGGUUUGAUAAGUCAUCUGUGAAAUCUCUGGGCUCAACCCAGAGUCUGCAAGGCGAAACUGUCGGGCUUGAGAGUGGGAGGAGGUGAGUGGAAUUUUCCCGGUGUAGCGGUG